GUAUUUGAUGGCCACCAAUAUGCCAAGCAUGUGGCAACACGAUUACAAUAAAACAUAUCUUCGUAGAAUGCAAAAUACACGAACAACUAAGAGAAGAACUAAUCAUAAGCCAUAACGUCAGAACAAGUCCUUGGUCCAAAUCCAGACAACAAAGUGCUAGAAAAGAAUACUGGUGUUACCACAUGAAGGUGUUAAAAGAAUUGAUAAUAUGUGAAGAUAAGUAUUUGACAACACUAAAAUGGUGCGAGCAAAAAUGUAAUCCUUCCAAAAAAAAUGAAAACAGCACAGAUAUAUCAG